rnacentral:lncRNA from 1 species
CCAUGACGAGCACCAGAUUUCUUCUUUUAUUUUUCUCGAAUUUUUUCGUCGAAGCCGCGGAUGUCCUCAUCGUGUUCAUCUCAAAUACUCACCGGAGACCUCACCGGAGUCGUAGGUAAGCCCUUCUCCUCUUUCCCCUCUUCUUUCCCCUUCUUUCCGUGGCUCGCACACCCUUGCCGGCCGUCGGGAUCGUCGGAAAAACUCAUGAAAAAGGUAAGACCCUGUUUUGCUCUGUUCGGCCGAGCCAUCUCCCUCCCUUUUCCGGCCACCAGCGCCGCUGUCCAUGGUGCCGCACCCCUAGGUUUGGACCCCCACCUCUCUGCCUAUGUUUUUCGAAGGUCAUGGCCACCGGUGAUCGGCCAAUGACCGGAGAAAUUUAAGAAAAAAGGGGCGGUCCCCUGUUUUUCAAUUUUUCUAAUUUUCCCACCGGCCGAACCUCAUCGCCGGCCAUCUCUGGCUCCA